UUAUGNGAUANUUGGUGUGAAUUGCAGAAUCCCGCGAACCAUCGAGUCUUUGAACGCAAGUUGCGCCCGAGGCCACCCCGGCCGAGGGCACGCCUGCCUGGGCGUCACGCACCGCGCUGCCCCGCACCCAAGCUCGGGUGGUGGGCGAAAAUUGGUCGACCGUGCGCUCCGGCACGCGGCGGGCCGAAAUAGAUGGAGUUCCCCCAUCGGAGGGUCGUCGGCACGGCGUUGGGUGGUCUCGAGGGCUCUUUUUAGAGCCUCUCUGAUCGGACGCCGUGAGCGCUGCCCGUGCCGGUGGGAGAGCCAAGGCGCCCCCCGACUGCGUAGCGACCCCAGGUCAGGCGGGGCCACCCGCCGAGUUUAAGCAUAUAAAUAAGCGGAGGAGAAGAAACUUACGAGGAUUCCCCUAGUAACGGCGAGCGAACCGGGAAGCGCCCAGCUUGAGAAUCGUGCGGCCGCGCCGCUCGAAUUGUAGUCUGGAGAAGCGUCAAU
rnacentral:rRNA from 1 species